rnacentral:rRNA from 1 species
UACGAAGGGGGCGAGCGUUGUUCGGAAUUACUGGGCGUAAAGGGCGCGCAGGCGGCUCUGAAAGUCAGAUGUGAAAGCCCCGGGCUUAACCUGGGAAUUGCAUUUGAUACUCUGGAGCUUGAGUACGGGAGAGGAGAGUGGAAUUCCCAGUGUAGAGGUGAAAUUCGUAGAUAUUGGGAAGAACACCGGUGGCGAAGGCGGCUCUCUGGACCGUAACUGACGCUGAGGCGCGAAAGCGUGGGGAGCGAACAGG